rnacentral:rRNA from 1 species
UACGUAGGUGGCAAGCGUUGUCCGGAUUUACUGGGCGUAAAGGGCGCGUAGGCGGUCUGUUAAGCGUGUGGUGAAAGCUCGGGGCUCAACCCCGAGUCUGCCAUGCGAACUGGUGGACUUGAGCACUGUAGAGGCAGGUGGAAUUCCGGGUGUAGCGGUGGAAUGCGUAGAGAUCCGGAAGAACACCGGUGGCGAAGGCGGCCUGCUGGGCAGUUGCUGACGCUGAGGCGCGACAGCGUGGGGAGCAAACAGG